AAUCUUUCGSAAUGGACKAAAGUCUGACGAAGCGACKCCGCGUGUGUGAUGAAGGCUCUAGGGUUGKAAAGCACUUUCGCUUGGGAAUAAGAGAGAUUGGCUAAUAUCCAAUCGAUUUGAGCGUACCAGGUAAAGAAGCACCGGCUAACUCCGUGCCAGCAGCUGCGGUAAUACGGAGGGUGCUAGCGUUAAUCGGAUUUAUUGGGCGUAAAGGGCGUGUAGGCGGAAAGGAAAGUUAGAUGUUAAAUCUUGGGGCUCAACCUCAAGCCAGCAUCUAAUACUAUCUUUCUAGAGGGUAGGUGGAGAAAAGGGAAUUCCACGUGUAGCGGUGAAAUGCGUAGAUAUGUGGAAGAACACCAGUGGCGAAGGCGCUUUUCUAAUUUACACCUGACGCUAAGGCGCGAAAGCAAGGGGAGCAAACAGGAUUAGAUACCCUGGUAGUCCUUGCCGUAAACGAUGCAUACUUGAUGUGGAUAGUCUCAACCCUAUCCGUGUCGUAGCUAACGCGUUAAGUAUGCCGCCUGAGGAGUACACUCGCAAGGGUGAAACUCAAAAGAAUUGACGGGGGCCCGCACAAGCAGUGGAGCAUGUGGUUUAAUUCGAUGCAACGCGAAGAACCUUACCUGGGCUUGACAUGUAUUUGACCGCGGCAGAAAUGUCGUUUUCCGCAAGGACAGAUACACAGGUGCUGCAUGGCUGUCGUCAGCUCGUGCCGUGAGGUGUUGGGUUAAGUCCCGCAACGAGCGCAACCCUUAUCGUUAGUUGCCAACACUUAGGGUGGGAACUCUAACGAGACUGCCUGGGUUAACCAGGAGGAAGGCGAGGAUGACGUCAAGUCAGCAUGGCCCUUAUGCCCAGGGCUACACACGUGCUACAAUGGCCAGUACAGAAGGUAGCAAUAUCGUGAGAUGGAGCAAAUCC
rnacentral:rRNA from 1 species